rnacentral:misc_RNA from 1 species
UUUCCGUAGGUGAACCUGCGGAAGGAUCAUUAUUGUAUAACCGAGAUGCGAGGGCUGUCGCUGACCCGAAAGGUCGUGCACGCCCGAGUGCCCUCACACACAUCCAUCUCACCCCUAUGUGCACCACCGCGUGGGUCCCCCUUUGGCUUGCUCGGGGGGGGGCUUACGUUUUCACACAAACUUUGUAUGCAGUGUAGAAUGUAUUUUUUGUUUUUGCGAUCACGCAAUCAAUACAACUUUCAACAACGGAUCUCUUGGCUCUC